AACGGAUGUCACUGAUACCCUGGCUGGUUCCUUGGCCACCGCCUCGGAUGGGCAGAUAAAGCUCCUUCUUAUGGCAGCCAGGGGGAUUUAGAUGGUGUGUGAAUAAAUCAAACCUCAGGAAUUGAGGUGGAAGAACUGAGCUAUAAGAGAGCUAGGGGAGUACAGGAGAGCAGGAACAGGACUGCUAGUGCUGAGAAAUCCCUAAUCCUUAUUCCAUGGUCAGACUUGGGCUCCUUCAUAAAACAAGGAUAGCAGAGGUCAUUUCUCCCUGGGUCUCCAUCAAUGAGAUGAAAGCUAUUGAGCAUUAACAGUGAUCAUCUAGAGCCUUCUGCAUGUAUGUGCAUUCCCAGGUUGGUAAUAUCCUACCCAAAUGCAUAAAUCCAGUUCCUGGCUAUCUGCAGUGGAGUUUUCUCCAUCCUGUGCAAUGUAAUUUCAGGCGCUAUGUGCCGUGCAUAACCUGGCAACCCACCUACACACAGCAGCCGAACGGAGGCAAAGUUAUCUAAUAACAAUUGAAUAUUUGACUUGAAGCAACUUGCUUUGCAGCCUUGAACUAUUGACUUGCUGUGGUACCCGA